GAUGAACGCUGGCGGCGUGCCUAAUACAUGCAAGUCGAGCGAACGGACGAGAAGCUUGCUUUUCUGAUGUUAGCGGCGGACGGGUGAGUAACACGUGGAUAACCUACCUAUAAGAUUGGGAUAACUUCGGGAAACCGGAGCUAAUACCGGAUAAUAUUUUGAACCGCAUGGUUCAAAAGUGAAAGACGGUCUUGCUGUCACUUAUAGAUGGAUCCGCGCUGCAUUAGCUAGUUGGUAAGGUAACGGCUUACCAAGGCAACGAUGCAUAGCCGACCUGAGAGGGUGAUCGGCCACACUGGAACUGAGACACGGUCCAGACUCCUACGGGAGGCAGCAGUAGGGAAUCUUCCGCAAAGGGCGAAAGCCUGACGGAGCAACGCCGCGUGAGUGAUGAAGGUCUUCGGAUCGUAAAACUCUGUUAUUAGGGAAGAACAUAUGUGUAAGUAACUGUGCACAUCUUGACGGUACCUAAUCAGAAAGCCACGGCUAACUACGUG
rnacentral:rRNA from 1 species